UGCGAGGGGCGGAGCUUCCAGGAGUCAACCCUGCCUUCUCUUGGGCUUGGGGGCGGGCCCUAUUCUGAUUGGAUAUAUGAGACUGUCCAUCCUGGACUCAUCGGUCGACGGAACUGACGCUCUAGGGCGGAGGUUUGGUGCCUCCUAGAGAGAGGCCGAAGGAGCUAAGGGUCAGGAGACCGAUUCCGGAAAACUUAAUUGCUGUGCUGGCGCAGCUCUUCCUCCCUUUCUUGCUCUAGAUCGACCAUGUUUUGUCAGAACGCUCCACUGUGACCCGUCUGUUUUGGAUGGCCCUGCAUGAAAGGCUCUAAAUCCCUCGAUGGUGACAUCAUUUCCUCGUGAUUAGCAGAAAACCUUAUGUGAAUCGACAGCCAGCACUUUCCAAAAUCACAGUGCUGAUCAUGCUCCUAGCCCACUGGAGAACGUACAAUGGCUUGUCUUCAUCUACAUCUACAAAAUAAGGUCCAGCCUGUUCAUUGCAGCAAACUAGACCCUUCACAAUUUGACCAGCCUCACCUUUACACCUUAUGUCUUACAGCCCCCGUUUGUCUGCUGUUCUGUACUCCUAUGUUCAGUUCCACCAUUCAGCCCCCUUUCUUUGGAAUGGGGAAUCUUGAUUUUACCACUUUCUAACUCUAUGAUCUCAGGCAAGUCAUUUAAUUUCUGAGUCUCAGUUUCCUCUGCUGUCAGAAACGAGUAUAUAAAGAGAUCUGAAAUAAUGAGUUUAUGGCACCUAUUCAUGCCCAGACUUGUGUUC
ensembl:lncRNA